GUUGUUGUUUUUUUGGUUCAGAGGAGGACGGAGAUGAGGGGACGGAUUGUGAAAGAGUUGAGAGGAAAGAGAAAGAAAAACUACAAGAUUCUGAAGGUCAACCCCUUUCAGCUCUUGAAAAGUUCUCUUCUCAGUCGAAAAGCUCUUCGCAUUUCAUUUUUCCAAAGGAGUUGGAGUGGAACCUGCCUCCCCCUCCUGUUCCACCUCCCAUCAACAAGCAUGGGCUGCCGGACAGAGCUGCAAGUCAAGGUUCUGACCCAAAAUGCCUUGAUUCAAAAAAUGUCAAUGCAGAGCCAUGAGAUGCUGUGAUGACAUUUAUAUGUACAAAUAAAUAUCCGAUGCUUGGAAGAAUAAACCACCUGAACACCAGAACAUGUAAAAGUGUGGGAAAAGAGGAUUUCCUAAAGGUGUGUCAUGCCUGUUCUUAGGUGAUGAGGGGCUGAGGCCUCAGGCUCCAGUGAAACCUCAGAGGAACAGGAAGGCGAUGUCCUGUGAUGCAGGUACCAUCACAUUUUCAUAUCCUUCCUUUCCAAAGAGUAAGAGCACUACUUUACGUUCAUUUACAAAGCUAUGACUGAGAAUGUAUACUAAAAGUACAAAAAGGAAUGUUGAUUUUAAAACCAGAUUUACUUGAGACUUCUUGAGCAUCCAGUGUCUUUUUUUGCAUUGUGUCAGAUUCCUGAGCUUUAAAGAUUUGUGUGUUCUGCUUUUGUUUGUGUGUGCAUCUGAAUCUAACUGUCUAUCUGUGUUUCCUGUCACUCAUUGAACUCAGGCACUGACAGGGAAAGCCCUAAUAACCUUGAGAAGCCCCAACAUCGCAAACCCCCAGUGAAAAAACCUAGACUGCCACAGAACAGAAAUAAGUCUCUGGACUUGUCUGGUACAUGUCUCCAUGUUUCUAUGUGUGUUUGUGUGUCACUGACAUGAGGGUGAUUUCUCACCGAGCUGUGGCAGAUUGCGAGUGGAGGCACAAAAUUACAAAAAAAUAGUUUCUUAAUUGAGAUGGCCCAGGGCGGCCCUUUUGCCUAUUGUCACUUCCUGUGAGCUGGAACCCAGCUGGGCUUCAGAAACCUGCUGAGCAGCUUCCACUCCCCGCCAGUGAAAGGAUCGGAUCAGGUCCUAACAGAAAUGUUCUUUCUAUUCAGGAAAAUAUCACUUUUGUUGCAAACUAAAUUACUAUAAAAACCCUUUUCAUGCUGAAAAAAGUAACAGACAGAUUCUGUGUCUGCUCUAGUAAAAUGAGGAGGAAAGAAAACAGUUUUGUUGCCACACACUUUCGAUUUUCUAACAUGUCUGGUGUCACAGGACAGUUUUAAAAAUUACAUUUAAUGUUUAUUCAACCAAAUCAUUUGAUCUCUGCAAGUUUUUUUUUUAUUUUUUGGGCUGCAUGGUGACGCAGUGGUUAGCGCUCUUGCCUCACAGCAAAAGGGGCACCAGUCCUGGCAGGGGACCGACUGGUGCCCUGAAACACAAUCACCAAUGGGGUGUUGAGUUUGCAUGUUCUCCCCGUGUUUGCUUAGGUUUUCUCCAGGCAUUCCGGCCUCCUCCCACUGUCCAAAAACAUGCUUCAUAGGUUAAUUGGUUAAUCGAAAUUGUCCCUAGGUGUGAAUGUGCGUGACUGUGGCCCUGCGACUGGCUGUCGACCUGCCCAGGGUGUUCCCCGCCUUUGCCCAACAGUGGGUGGGUUAGGCUCCAGUGACCCCGUGACCCCAAAAGUGAUCAAUGAAUGAAAAAUGUUCAUUUGGUUUUGUGAACAGAGCUGAGUACAUUUCCUUUUUUGUAUACUGUCCAUUAUACUUUACAUCUCUUAGAUUGACUGCUAAGAGAUGCUUUUUAACCUAAGAUAUUGAAACAAACGUUUUAUUACAAAUAAAACAAAGGCUUUAUUUUAGAUGUGUUUCCAAUUCGGUCAAAUCCUUAGGCAUAAUUCAAAACAACAAAUUGAAAACAAAUACGCUCCUAUCAAAAUGUUACGCAUUAAUUAAGUAAUUAGUUAAAUUUUGCUCUUAUUCAUUGUUUCACAGAUUUUUUUUUACCUCUAUGUGAGCUUUAUUACUCUGAAGUUAGAUUACUUAACUUUAGUAAAAAAGGAAAUUCUCAUUUUAGUCUCCAACUCUUUGUGAUACAUUGUGGACACAGUCAGAGACUUCUGGACUGUUUAGAGGGAAUGUUUGUUACAAAUUUUACAACAAAAUUACGAUGAUUUGAAGGCGUUUUGAAUGUCUCCUCUCAAAUGCCCAGUGAGAUAAAACCCUUAAUGAAUAGAAGGAAGGCUUCUAACAGCUCACAGCUGCAAAGUCAACGUUAAUAAGUACUAACAUCGGCUUUUUUGUGUGUAUGUGUGUUUUUUUUUCCUCACAGAGAGCAUCCCCUCGCCACCUGAUCAGAGUGAGCUGUUAUGAUGCUUCAGACGUCCACUUAUGGUUGUCAUGACAUCUGUGGAGAAUUUCAUGCAGCAGAUAAACAAACAGGAGAGAAAACACGACAGGCAUUAUAGAGCAGCAGUCAUGCAUCCCUGCUCCAACGCUCACUUUCUCAUCCCAACCACGUCUUGUCCUUUUGCUUUGCCUUCACCUGCUCAACUUUUUUUGUGGCGUCAGUCGUUUAUCAGCAUUUGCUUCUUCAGCAAAGCCUAGGUGUGCUCCGAUGCUUUGCUAGAAAGAUGAAAAGUUUUCCUCAGUAGAAUGUGAUUUCUUAAACUUGCGGUGCAUUAAAUCGUUAAUCUGGUUUGGUUGCCUUGAUUGACACUUAAAAUGAGUUGCUUCUUAUUAAAUAAAACUUGAUGAUUUAUACACAGUUUUGCUUUCAGGAACUGAAAGGUGAUAUAUUUUAUAGAGAAAACAAAUAUUAUGUAUGAGCUCCUUCACUGUAUGAAUAAAACACAAGAAAAAAAAACUGUGACUUAAAGCUACAUUUUCUUUUAUUGUUUGUUUCAGAUUUACUUUAAGAUGAUGUGCAUCCUCAGCAGCCACGUUUUUUAUUGUGUGGGGAUAUUGAAUAAUAUAGAAAAGGUAUUUUUCCCUUCUGCAAGGCUAAAGACAUGUUUUUGGGAACAAAGCAAAAACUGGGCGGAGGCUCCAGAUAAGACCCAGGACAAGCUGAAGAGGCUAUGUCUCUCUGCUGGCCUGGGAACGCCUCGGGGUCCCCCCAGAAGAGCUGGAGGAAGUUUCAGGGGCAAGGGAAGUCUGGGCAUCUUUGCUUAGACUGCUGCCCCCGCAACCCGGUCCCAGAAAGGAGGAAGAAGAUGGAUGGAUGGAAAACAAAGACUGAUCUUUGGGAUCUGUUAUUAGAGGGACAUAGCUCAAUUUAGCAAGAUUACAUAAGAGUGGACUGGUACAACAAUAAAAGUGCCUUAAAAACUGGAAUUAACAAAGAUUUUAAGUCUAAACUCUAUGUUUUUUAAAGGAACUGUUACCAUUUGCAGCUUUUUGAAUGCUGAAAAAAGGACAACCGACAAAAAUCUGUCUAAACAGUUGAUACUGUACAAAAAAAGACGUUUUAGAAAAAUAGGAAUCAUAAUGGAAUUGCUUCUAAUUAGUGCAGUAAUCUUGUGAUAUCUCACUUUGAUCCCUAAAAACAGAAGUCAUUAAAAUGACAGGUUACCCAGUCUGGAUUUACUGUAACAAGCCUCCAAAUCCCUGCUUUGAUUUGGUGUGAUCGUGCGUUGAUGAUAAAUUUACCUCCUGUCUUCAGAAAUCCCCCUCCAGUUGGCAUGGCGAUGUGGGGCACCGUCACGUCAAAGAAUGUGAAACAGCAGGGGGCGUCUGAUUCCUGCAGAUGAAGCAAUCACUCACAGAAAUACACAAACACAAGAGAGGCGGUCUCACAGGUUGUCAUUAGCAACUGGGCUGUGACCUUUUUCCCUAAGAUAAAAAAAUAUAUAUAUUUGUGUUUCAGCUGCUAAGAUGCAGGAAAAGGUUUUUUUUUUGUGAGAAAUGUUUUAGGAGUAUGAGGAGAUGAAGAAGCCGUUUCCGAUGACUGAGAUUCAUCAUUGCAUUCAUUUUGCAUAUGCAAAUAUUGUAGUUCAUCACUGCUUUUCAUAUCAGGAAAAUCCCCCAGAAGAUUUUGCUUUCAAUGAUACAAGAGUUGUUAAUGUCUGACAUUAUAACGUUUGAAUCUCUGAUUUAUUUCAAAGGUAAGUGUCAUGGCCUGAAACCACUUUUUAAAGCAGAUCAUAGCUUUAUAACCUGAAUAUGAGCUGAGCCUCUGCAUCAAUCCUACAGAAAAUGUGGGAUUUCCUAUCUCUGAC
rnacentral:lncRNA from 1 species